ensembl:lncRNA
CUGAAACAAAUAUUUGCCCUGUAUUUCCAGUCUGUUACAUCCCUCAAGACAGUCAUUGGCUUUCAUGCAAUGAAUCUAGGGUAUUUCACAGGAAUAAACUAAGAGUAGGAAUGCAGCAUCAACAUAGUAGGUUACAGUCAGCAGUUGAGGUCUGUGAUAUGGGUUUAUGAUGUUUCUUAGCUCAGAAAAAAGGCACCAUUCAAUUUCUGUAUUUAUAUUUCUACUUGAAUGUCUUUUAUGUACUGAAUUUGUGAUCUCCUAAGUUCCUUUCUCUCUUUCAAGAAAAAAUGUCUGGCAGUUGGGAUUGAAAAAGUUUCAGACACUCUGUGUGAACAUCUGGGAAAACUGACCAUAAAAUGUUGAGUUCAGCAGUCAAGUAGUUGGCUGAGUCCUUUGUACUGCAGUUGCUGGGUUAUCUCUGUCCUUGGAGACCAAUAUCAAACUUCACACUCAGAAGUCCCCCAGCUGAGUUAUGCCCCUUCGUCACGGAAUUCACACCCCACCCCCUCCACUGACGCAAACUUCAGAGAGCAGCUCCAUGGAGGAUAACCUAAGUGCUGCCUGCAGAGCUAAGUGUGCUGUCCUUGCUUGUUAUUGUAGCAUUGAUAUACAUAUCUUCCUUUCCUCAUUUGUUAUAUCCUAAUGUCAUUAGGACAAGCCUGCAGCAAUUUUAAACGCUGGCUGCACAGCCUCUUUGACGUCAUUACAGAAAGGUCUCGAGUGCAGACCCUGCAUAUACUGUCUGUGAUAUAGUGUAUAAAAAUCCAUGUCAGUGCUGGCUCUCGGGGAGCACUGGAAAUGAUUCAGCUGUCUGGAAUGGGCAGAUGGCUGCUAUCAAAGUUUUAUUAUCACCAUCAUUAUUAUUACAGUGGUUUGUGACACAUGCUGAACUUUAAGACUGGUGUAAAAGCUUAAGUAUUUGAGCAACACUUUCUGAAAUUCAAAUCCUUCAAAUCCUUUCCAAUCUAACUCCAAAAAGCAGGAGUACGUUUCAAGCUAAUUAGACAUAUUGCUUGGUUUCACUUCCAACUUUCAGAGUAAUUAUCUCAAAAUUCUUGUUCUCUUGUAAACGCAAAUGUUCACUAUUUUUAAUUGCCUUGAUUUAUUGCAGAACUUAAAUUCAGUACAUGCUGAAAGUUCAGCAGGGUGGAAAGAAAAUUUGAGUUUGUUUAAGGGAGCACAUGGAUAGGAUUGUGUACUGUGGCCUCUGUUUAGAAAAGCUCAUCGUUAACCUAUGCUAACAGGAACUGCUUGCUGGAGGCAUCCUCUAAAACUAACCAUACCGAGGAGUACAGAAUUAAUUGAUACAGAUUUCUUCAACUUGCAACAUGAACAGAUUUACUUGGAUGUUGUAAGAGUGACAUUUCGUUUUCAUCUCUGUAGCUGCUACCUCUGCUGCUUUGUGUAUUUGAAUAUUUCAGUUCUCACAGGGUUCUCUUCUGACGCAUCAGUAGACGGCUGAAGGUUUUUCUCGGUCAUCCUGAGACUGGCUCAGACUAUGUUAUGUUGGCUGUCUGUCUGUGCUUUGUACUUGUCUUUCGUACGGCCUCCAUGGCUCACCAGCAUGAGGUAUAGAUCAACUACUGCUGCCUAUGCCACUGCCUUUUGUGAUUCCUUUUUGUGGUUAUAUUUAGCCCUGAAUGCUAUGGUAUUGGCUUUUGAAUUCUCUGUUCUGGCCAAGUUUUUUGUUUAAGUUGUUGUCCUUUUAGUUUUACUGUAACUGGUCUGUCAGCAGGGGUCCUCUCAGCACAGUAAUGACUCAUGAACAUAUUUCCAUUUCCAGGAGGGCGUAUUGUGGUUGGCCAGCACUGCUAGGCAGACAUCUUAUCCUUCUUGUUCUGCCUUUACCAUCAACAUCCACAUUAUAAUUUCUCAGGCCAGGCAUCACUUUGUGCUUUUAUUUCUUCCCAAAUCUUUGAAAUCAGCUAUCAGGUACUGUGGACCACUUUUUCAGUAUGGCCUGUUGGAUAUGCAGCCAAAGUGUUUUUGUUUUUGUUUUCCUAAUCUCAUUUUUCUAUAUGUCCUGAAAUUGGGCUAGUAAAUUCUUGUAAUGACAGCAUUUUGGGAAGUGAAAGCAAAGAAUUGGACUUAAUUCUUUUUCAAAAGUAUUCAUUUUCUGUGGUUGUAGCAUUCUCCUGCUGUCAGGUAUCAAGGCAUUUGCCCAGCUUCUACUAGAUAUUUAAAACAGGGCCAGGGUUUUUUUCACCAACUAAGACUGGAUUUAUUCUGAUUUAAAUAACAAAAUUUUGCAUCCAGAUAAGUGUGCAUUAAUUACAGUAAUGGCAUGAAUCAUGGAUUAGGUGAGGUUGGCUGAGGAGGCAUUUCUGGAGGCCAUUUGGGUCAACCUCCACUCAAGCAGGGACACCCAGAGCUGGCGGCCCAGAAGCAUAUCCAGAUGGCAAAGAGACACUCAGUCUAUAGUUCUUGUAACUAACCUACAGAUUCUCCCCACAGUCCAGGGAAAUUACACUUAAGCAGCUUGUAGGAUUUUUAUUGAAAGUCAAAGAUAACUUGAAUUCAAAAGUAGCUAGUGAGAAGCAUGACAGCAAAUAUUUGGAAAGGUCAGUAGACUGCUGGGAUGAUACAAUCUCAGGCAGUGGAACAGGAGUAAGAGAAAAGAGAUUGAUAACACUAAUGCUGUAUGAUAGUGACAGAGCAAAUUGUCCCUUUUUACAGAUCUUUUAGACAACUUUAUUUUCUACCAUUGUAUGUGGGAACAUGUUUAGUUUUUUUAGUUGUUUAGUUUUCCACUGAGACCAGAGCCUGAUGAUUUCUCUUGUUCCCUUAAAGUACAUCCAGAAUAUUUAACACACUGGCCUUCCAGCUUAUCACAUGCUUUCUGUUUCUCAGUGACUUUUUUUGAGUUCAAAUCAUUGAGUGCUAAUGCAAAAACCUAAGAGAAUCAGUUCCCCUGUGCUAUGCUUGUGGAAAAAACCUUUGCAAAUAAAAGUCUGAUAUUAAAGUGGGGUGGAGGGAAAAAGAAGGUAACUGUAUUACCUGACUGAUCAGUGCUGCUUUAGUCUGUAUUCAGUAAAUUCACUUAUGAAUGAUAUUUUUCCCUAAAGCAGUGUUUCCCAGAUAUUGAUUGCUGCGGUUGGUAAUGGAUCUAGAGGCCAGCCAGCUUCCAGUGACGCAGUUUCUAGGAACAUGGACAGUGCCAGUCUGAGCUCCAAAAAUCAAUCGCAUAGAGAUGGUUUAUGGUUUGUAACUGUCAGAAAUAGUGGCAGCAGUGUGGCAUUACAGGACGCUGCCCUGUGUCUGUAGACAAAGUGUGUUUUCUGGAAGAGCAGGAUCUUUCCCUCUGCAGAUUUUGGGUACCUCACCUGUUACCAGAGAGAGCAGAGCUGCUUAAGAGCUCAUGGGAGGAAGGACUAGUGAUUGCCAUGCAUGUCUCUUUUCCCUCUGUCAUAAUUGCCUGGGCAGUUAUUUCUCUUCCUACCUGGCAAAACUGGCUGUGUAACACUCAGUGGUGCCAGUGCUCAUCUCCUUCUGUUCCUCAGGGAAACUUACUGUGUCUCAGCCUAGUUUUUUCCCCUUUUUUUUGUCUGAAAAGCCUGGUUCCUUAGUGGGGGUCACAAGCACCACAAAUCUCAAAACGGGAAGGAAAAAAAUAUGUUACUAUUCCAGAUGCUGUUGCUCUCAUAGUAUCAUUGAAUGUUGCUUAUCACACUGCAAUUUAAGUGGAAUGGAAUCUCUUGAGGGACUUAAAAUAACUUUAUCACCAAAUGAAGGCAAGUUUAGUGAGCCUGUCUGUGCUGUUUUCAGUUAGAAUCUCUGGUAGCACUGAGCAGUCUGUCCAGGAAGCUGUUUCCGUAUCAUCUACAGUUUGUCUUAAACUCUACACCCAUUUGAUAGCAGGUAAUGAACAGGUUUUGCUGACAUUCUUCAUAUACAUUCUCUCAUCUUUCCCCAGUAAUUAGCAUGACACAUAGAAGCACAGAGAGGUAGAGUGGCUCAUGCAGACUAAUUUACUCAGUGUUUGGAUUUCAAUGAAUAGCUUAUAAAAAGAUAUGUAUGCUCUCUUCUAUCCCCUUACCUGAGAUAUUCAGUCCACCUCCCUCAGCUUUCUACCAUGACAGCUUGCUUCUAUGGUUGUGAGAGCAUAAGCUGCCUGUCCUGUCUCAGAUGUGCAUCUGACCUUGAUUUCAGAGGCAAAAAGAGAAUGAAAGGAGAUUUGCAGCCAAAAUCAGUUAAUAAUGAGGUGAAAUUAUGUAGGACAAAUCGACUUUAAAAGGAUAAAUGAAGUCAUGUGGAGUUGUGUAAUAUUGCAGUCAGUCUACCACCCACAUCCAAGCUAGUUCUUUAAAAUUGCCUAUUUCUGGGACCAUGGACUUCUGAAUAGUUGUGGCCCUCUGAUCUAUAUGCCCAAAUCUUGAGAUCAAGACCACAGGCAUCUACUUAUUGAGGAGCAAUAAGAAGGGUGAUCUGGAAAUCGUAUGAUUUCCAUGCAUAUGAUGCUACCUCCUGAGAGAUCCUGUCACUGUACCCUAGGGCUAAGUCUGGUGUGCAGCUGAGUCCUGCAUCAGGCUGGCAGUGUUCAUCUUGGCAAUUCCUUUUGCUGUAUUUCCCUUGUAGCUGGGAUCUGGAUUGCCAGCACUGUGCUGCUCUUGGUCAUGGCAUUUGGUUUGGCAGCAGAUGUUAUCCCUCUUAGAAAAAAGAUGCCCCAGUAAAAGGUUGGAUGGAACCUUGAGCAAGCCUGAUCUGGUACAUGGCAAUCCUGGGGAGAGUAAGCUCAAUGAUUUUUAAUGUCCCUUUCAACCUAAGCCACUCGUUGCUUCUAAAUGGAGAAAAGAAUGAGGAGGGAAUUAUUUUCUGCAGGAGUCGUGUCUUACUCAGGCACAUUAGCUUAUCACCCAACCAUAUCCAACAAGUAAUACCACUGUGCGGGGCUCCUGAAUUCCAGCCCUCAGGCAGCAGCCUGCUUUGUGAUCUCUCAUUCAUCUCCAAAGACAAGUGUAGUGGGCUGGAACCAGGACAGACAGUUCAGAUUAAUCAGACUGUGAGCCUAGAGUUUACAUGGUCAGGGGUAAGUGUGUUCUUGAAAUAGGAUUGGCCCAGAUCAAGGAGAAGUAAAGCACAGUUUGUAUGUUUUGAUGUAAGAUUAAAGUCAGAGAAAUGUGAACAAAAACAGACCAAGAUUUUUAAGAUGUUUAUAUUUUUAUUAUUUAUAGAAAUCCUGACAGAGUGUUUUUUUUUCUGAGUGCUCUAAAAUGCAUUGGAACCUGACCUACUUUCUUCUCAGGUUUACCUACCUACAUUUUCCGUAGCUCUGGAGGACACGUCAGCUGCAGACAAGAAGAAAAAAUGCACUAGCUUCAUAAAAUUACAAUACGAUCUCUUAGUUUGGCUGGUGAUUGCAUUCUAAAAGGUAUCACAGCCAGGACACAGAGUCAACUGCAAGAGAUAAGAGGGCUGCUCCCAAAGUAAUGCCUUCUAUUUUAUUAUUUUGGCUCACAAUGUCAGAAUCAGAUGUUGAUGAUAUGGCAGUAGAGAUUGAAUCUUCCCACCAAUGUUUCAUUGCAUUUUGUUGCUGUGUGACAAAUGGCAGCAGAGAGGCAGUCUGACAGAAUGAUGUUUGACAUGGAAGUGCAUAUGAAGCAAAGGUGUGACAUUGAAUUCCUCUAUGUGGAAAAAAAUGACAUCCACUGACAUUCAUGGAUACUUGCUGAACGUUUCUGGAUAUCAAACGGUGAAUGUUGGCACAGUGAUGCUGUGGGUGGUGCAUUUCAGUAGUGGCAACAGUGGGUCAACUCCAGUAGUACAGAUUUUUACAAGUGCAGAAUGCAGGCUUUUGUUCAUCACUGGUAAAAAUGCAUAGUUACUGGUGGUGACUGCGUGGAAAAGUUUUCUGUAGCUGAGAAUUUGCUCUGUCAACUAGUAUUAUCGUGCUUUUUGUAUCUGCUGUAGUUUCCAUGGAAAUAAAUAGGAGGCGUUACUUUUGGAGUGAUCUACAUAAUGUUCUCAGGCUUGUUCACAUAAACAAAUCCAUUCCUUUCUAAACCAUGAAAGUGUCUGUGUGUGGAUGUGCACAGGUUUAAUAGUACAGAAUUAUCUAUAAAGUAUGUGAGAUAGUGUUUUGAGAGAGGAAAUAAGAAGGAAGGAAACAAUGAGGAGCUCUGGAAGGCAGAAAAUGCUAUUUUCGAGUUGGAGUCAGUAUGCCAUAAGUAUCUAAUUUCACAGAUACUUAAUGUCACGUAUAUCAUGCUCUCAUAGAUAUUUAAUACACUUUAUUUUUGUACAUGCUAGUAACAUGCCACAGUAUACUUCUAAAAACCACAAAAAGACAACAUUAAUGGGAUUCUAACUUACUUGAUUUUCUGGGACUUCACUGCAAGAAUAGCUCAAAAAGCUAAAAGAUGACCUGGUGUUUGAGAGAGAGAAAGGGAUUGUAUAUUGAUACUAAUUUCCACUGAGAUCAUUUGGCUGCAGCA